ACCAGUAGCGCCAUCCGUCUGGAUUGUGGAUGGAGAACGGACUCACAAAU
rnacentral:sRNA from 1 species